GUAUUACAGACACAGUCUGAUUCAAAUCUUUGACUUGGCUAGCCUCAAGGCUUUUAAAAUCUAAGAUUCCUUAUUAAAAAGUUUCCAACAAAGCCAAUUUUAAGAAGCCUAUGGUCAAUAAAUAUUCUUUCUGCACUUUAUGCAAAUAAUCAGACCAGGUAUGAUAAGACUAAAACUUAUUUUGCACACAAAUUGGUCCUACUAUGAUUUGUCUUUGAUAAAAUGAUGGACUAGAGAGAGAAAAUUUGUGUUCCAAAAGAAAACUAUGACAUAUGCUAUUAGAUUCCAGCCCUGAUCAUUGUUUUCGAGUUUUUUUAUUUGCCUAUAAUUUGGGCUGAAUCCUGAAUUAUUUCCUGGCUCCAAGUGUUCCCUAGUGAACCUGGAUAUAAUAUAUUAAAAAACUAGUUUUAUCCUGUCAGGAAUGAGAUGUAUUUUUGAAGGACUACUUAAACUAGCAAUUACAAUUCGAUUAUUAUGAUUAUAGAAUCUCGGGAUUUCUCUUCCUUCUUGUCAAGGUCUUUACCUGAUGUUUGUCUCAUUAGAAAAAAAAAAAAUCAGACUGAUUACACUCUACUCAAGACUGAAGACAUGUACUUUAACCUGUCCUAUUACCAGUAAGCCAAAGCCUUAACUUUCAGAAUCUGUCAGGGACCCUGUGUGGUCCCUGGAUCAAGCACCCAUGGGCUUAUGAAUGUGUUGACCGCUGGCAUAUGAGAGGUAAUUGUCUAUUAGGUUAUGUGGCUCUUCCUCUUUCUAUUUAUAACUCCAAUGUUUCUGAACGCUGAAGUAGUUCAUCAAAAUUAUUUUCCAGGAUUAGACAAACCGUACCUGCAAACCAAGGAGAUGAAUUUUGGCCUAUGUUUGGCAGAAGUCUCUUGCAAUGAUGGGGAAUAACCUCUCAUGAACGUAUAAUUAGAAGCUGUCAACCACUCUAGGUAACUUAGCAAAUGAACUAGCUGAAGCCAUAGCUACCAAAUAAAGAUCUUUAGACUCUUUAGCCAGGAUAGUCAUGGAUGACGGAAUAACUUUAGGCUACAUAGUGGUGAAACAGGGAGAAAUUCAUAUGGCAGCUAGCUAACACAUCGCGUUGUGUUUAGAUCCAUACAUCUUCUGAAGUUGAAACACAUGAAAAAAAUAAGACGAUAUGGGAAUUAAUUAUGACAAAUCCUAGGGAAGAGGCUGA
rnacentral:lncRNA from 1 species